GAACGCUGGCGGCGUGCUAACACAUGCAAGUCGAACGCGAACGGGGCUUCGGCCCCAAGUAGAGUGGCGCACGGGUGAGUAACGCGUGGACAAUCUGCCCUUAUGACUGGAAUAACAGUUGGAAACGGCUGCUAAUACCGGAUACGCUCAGGAAGAACUUUUUGAGGAAAGGCGGCCUCUGCUUGCAAGCUGUCGCAUAAGGAUGAGUCCGCGUCCCAUUAGCUAGUUGGCGGGGUAACGGCCCACCAAGGCAACGAUGGGUAGCCGAUUUGAGAGGAUGAUCGGCCACACUGGGACUGAAACACGGCCCAGACUCCUACGGGAGGCAGCAGUGGGGAAUAUUGCGCAAUGGGCGAAAGCCUGACGCAGCGACGCCGCGUGAGGGAUGAAGGUUUUCGGAAUCGUAAACCUCUGUCAGAAGGGAAGAAACUGCCGUGCUCUAAUCAUCAUGGCAUUGACGGUACCUUCAAAGGAAGCACCGGCUAACUCCGUGCCAGCAGCAGC
rnacentral:rRNA from 1 species